GUCUUUUAGAAUAUAAUUUAAAGUCUAACCUGCCCACUGAAUUUAUUUGAAGGGCCGCGGUAUUUUGACUGUGCAAAGGUAGCAUAAUCAUUAGUCUUUUAAUUGGAGGCUUGUAUGAAUGGUUGGAUGAAACAUUAACUGUCUCAAUUUAAUAAAAAUAGAAUUUAAUUUUUAAGUGAAAAAGCUUAAAUAUAAUUAGAGGACGAGAAGACCCUAUAGAUCUUUAUAAUUUAUUUUUUAUUAUUAAUAUAGAAUGUUAAUUAAUAUUAAUUGAUUGAUUAUUUUAUUGGGGUGAUAGAUAAAUUUAGUAAACUUUAUUUUAUAUAAACAUUUAUUUAUGAAUAUUUGAUCCAUUAUUAAUGAUUAAAAGAUUAAGUUACCUUAGGGAUAACAGCGUAAUUUUUUUAGAGAGUUCUUAUCGAUAAAAAAGUUUGCGACCUCGAUGUUGAAUUAAAGGUAAAUUUUAGGUGUAGAAGUUUAAAGUUUUGGUCUGUUCGACCAUUAAAUC
rnacentral:rRNA from 1 species